AACGAACGCUGGCGGCAUGCCUAACACAUGCAAGUCGAACGAGACCUUCGGGUCUAGUGGCGCACGGGUGCGUAACGCGUGGGAACCUGCCCUUAGGUUCGGAAUAACUCCCCGAAAGGGGUGCUAAUACCGGAUAAUGUCUUCGGACCAAAGAUUUAUCGCCUUUGGAUGGGCCCGCGUUGGAUUAGCUAGUUGGUAGGGUAAAAGCCUACCAAGGCGACGAUCCAUAGCUGGUCUGAGAGGAUGAUCAGCCACACUGGGACUGAGACACGGCCCAGACUACUACGGGAGGCAGCAGUGGGGAAUAUUGGACAAUGGGCGAAAGCCUGAUCCAGCAAUGACGCGUGAGUGAUGAAGGCCUUAGGGUUGUAAAGCUCUUUUACCUGGGAUGAUAAUGACAGUACCGGGAGAAUAAGCUCCGGCUAACUCCGUG
rnacentral:rRNA from 1 species